ACGGCGAACGGGUGAGUAACACGUGGUUAACCUGCCGAGAUGUGGGGGAUACCCCGGGGAAACCCGGGCUAAUACCGCAUGAUGUCUUCCGGGCGUCGCCCUGGAAGAGCAAAGCCGGGGACCGUAAGGCCUGGCGCAUUUCGAGGGGACCGCGGCCGAUUAGCUAGUUGGCGGGGUAACGGCCCACCAAGGCGACGAUCGGUAGCCGGCCUGAGAGGGUGAUCGGCCACACUGGAACUGAGACACGGUCCAG
rnacentral:rRNA from 1 species